UACGUAGGCAGCAAGCGUUGUUCGGAAUUACUGGGCGUAAAGAGUGUGUAGGCGGUGCUCUAAGUUCGGUGUGAAAUCUCCCGGCUCAACUGGGAGGGUGCGCCGGAAACUGGGGUGCUGGAGCGCGGGAGAGGAAAGCGGAAUUCCUGGUGUAGCGGUGAAAUGCGCAGAAUAUCAGGAGGAACACCGGUGGCGAAGGCGGAUCUCUGGGCCAUUACUGACGCUGGAGGAGCGAAAGCGUGGGAGC
rnacentral:rRNA from 1 species